rnacentral:rRNA from 1 species
ACUUAGUGAUCCGGUGGUUCCGCAUGGAAGGGCCAUCGCUCAACGGAUAAAAGCUACCCCGGGGAUAACAGGCUUAUCUCCCCCAAGAGUUCACAUCGACGGGGAGGUUUGGCACCUCGAUGUCGGCUCAUCGCAUCCUGGGGCUGUAGUCGGUCCCAAGGGUUGGGCUGUUCGCCCAUUAAAGCGGUACGCGAGCUGGGUUCAGAACGUCGUGAGACAGUUCGGUCCCUAUCCGUCGUGGGCGUAGGAAAUUUGAGAGGAGCUGUCCUUAGUACGAGAGGACCGGGAUGGACAUACCUCUGGUGUACCAGUUGUCGUGCCAACGGCAUAGCUGGGUAGCUAUGUGUGGACGGGAUAAGUGCUGAAAGCAUCUAAGCAUGAAGCCCCCCUCAAGAUGAGAUUUCCCAACUUCGGUUAUAAGAUCCCUCAAAGAUGAUGAGGUUAAUA